rnacentral:rRNA from 1 species
UACGGGGGGGGCAAGCGUUGUUCGGAAUUACUGGGCGUAAAGCGCGCGUAGGCGGUUUGUUAAGUCGGGGGUGAAAUCCUGAGGCUCAACCUCAGAACUGCCUUCGAUACUGGCGAUCUUGAGUCCGGGAGAGGUGAGUGGAAUUCCUAGUGUAGAGGUGAAAUUCGUAGAGAUCGGGACGAACACCCGUGGCGAAGGCGGUGUGCUGGGUUGCAACUGACGCUGAGAUGCGAAAGUGUGGGGAGCAAACGGG